UUGAGGAUAUUGCCACCUUGGUGCAAGGAAAGCUGUCUAAGCAGAAUCGAGUGACUGCAGGAGCACUUGUUGUGCUUGAUGUUCAUGCUAGGAAUGUUCUUGCAUCUCCAGUAAGCAAAAAAGUCAAAGAUGAGAGUGACUUUGAAUGGUUAAGUCAGCUCAGGUGCUACUGGGAGUUAAGUGAUACCUCUCAAUCCUAUUAGAAGAGUGACAAAAAUGUUGCAUCCAAAAAGCUGAAGUUGAAUCAAGAUGAAGGAAAAUUAAAGAUUGCUACUGGUCUGAGAAAGAAAGAAGCAGACCUGAGGGAGGUUCAAGAUAAGUUGCUGUACUCCACCAGACAUGGGAAUCCAAGAAGAAAAGAGAAGGCUGACUUGGAAAUCAGGUUGACUUAUGCAGCAAAAAACUACAAUGAACAGAACAAUUGAUUGGUGGCCUUGGGGAUGAGAAAAUUCACUGGCAUGAGACUGCUUUGGAGCUGGGAAG